UCUCCCCCCUUUUCUUAGUGUGUUGGGUGUUGAUCUUCAUCUUUUUUUAAUUGGGUUAUUUCUGGUUUCUUACCUUGUGGCUACCUGUGAGCAAAAAAAUCUCAAGGUUGUAUAAUUUAUACAUUCUUUGAUAAUAACUGUACUUUGAAAUCCUUUGAAUAAUUGUUUCACCUAUUCUUGUCUUCCAGAGGCAGAAGAAACUUUGCAAUUUUGCAUGUGUUUAUGAAGAUCACUGUACUCCAAUGCAGGAAAGGCUUCUGAGAAAAUUCAGAAUGGCACAGGCAAGGCCCUGGAGGACUGGCAAGUGGCUAAUGUUGUACCUCCAUUUAAGAAGAGAACAAGGGGAAAUCCUGGAAUCUAUAGGCUGGGCUCAUUGUCUGAAAAGAAAUGGAUCGUUGCUUUUUGCCCCACCAAGCGCAAUGUCUGCUGUCACACGCCUUAAUCAACGUACAAAAUGCUGGAGAAACUCAGCGGGUCAGGCAGCAGCUAUGGAGGGAAAUGCACAGCCGACGUUUCAUCUGGACUGAAAUGUUUUGUGUUGCUCCCGUCUUUAAUUUCUCCAUCUAUUUCUGUGUAUGGAAUGAUCCGUUUGGUUGGCACGCAAA